rnacentral:snRNA from 1 species
AGGUGUAAGGGCGAUCUGGCUAUGACAUCUGUCACCCCAUUGAUUGCUAGGGUUGAUUCAGCUGAUCUGGCUGGCUAGGUGGGUGUCCCCUUCCUCCCUCAAUGAUCCAUGUGUGUCCCUCCCAAAGCUGCGCAGCUCGGUCGAAGAGGACGACCACCCCCGAUAGAGGAGAACCGUUCCUCGGUCAGGGGUAUACGAGUAGCUGCGCUCCCCUUCUAGAUCCUCCAAACAAGCUCUCAAGAAAACACUGGGGCCAGGGAGAUGGCUCAGUAGAAUAAGUGCUUC